rnacentral:rRNA from 1 species
UGGGGAAUAUUGCACAAUGGGGGAAACCCUGAUGCAGCGACGCCGCGUGAGCGAUGAAGUAUUUCGGUAUGUAAAGCUCUAUCAGCAGGGAAGAAAGUGACGGUACCUGAGUAAGAAGCCCCGGCUAACUACGUGCCAGCAGCCGCGGUAAUACGUAGGUGGCAAGCGUUGUCCGGAAUUACUGGGUGUAAAGGGAGCGUAGGCGGGGAGACAAGUUGAAUGUUUAAACUAUCGGCUCAACUGAUAGUCGCGUUCAAAACUAUCACUCUUGAGUGCAGUAGAGGUAGGCGGAAUUCCUAGUGUAGCGGUGAAAUGCGUAGAUAUUAGGAGGAACACCAGUGGCGAAGGCGGCCUACUGGGCUGUAACUGACGCUGAGGCUCGAAAGCGUGGGUAGCAAACA